GACGAACGCUGGCGGCGUGCUUAACACAUGCAAGUCGAACGGUAAGGCCCUUCGGGGUACACGAGUGGCGAACGGGUGAGUAACACGUGGGUGAUCUGCCCUGCACUUCGGGAUAAGCCUGGGAAACUGGGUCUAAUACCGGAUAGGACCACUGCCUGCAUGGGUGGUGGUGGAAAGCUUUUGCGGUGUGGGAUGGGGCCGCGGCCUAUCAGCUUGUUGGUGGGGGGAUGGCCUACCAAGGCGACGACGGGGAGCCGGCCUGGGAGGGUGACCGGCCACACUGGGACUGAGAUACGGCCCAGACUCCUACGGGAGGCAGCAGUGGGGAAUAUUGCACAAUGGGCGCAAGCCUGAUGCAGCGACGCCGCGUGAGGGAUGACGGCCUUCGGGUUGUAAACCUCUUUCAGCACCGACGAAGCGCAAGUGACGGUAGGUGCAGAAGGAGGACCGGCCAACUACGUGCCAGCCGCCGCGGUAA
rnacentral:rRNA from 1 species